rnacentral:rRNA from 1 species
UACGUAGGGUGCAAGCGUUGUCCGGAAUUAUUGGGCGUAAAGAGCUCGUAGGCGGUCUGUCACGUCGGCUGUGAAAACCGGGGCUCAACCCCGGGCCUGCAGUCGAUACGGGCAGACUAGAGUGCGGUAGGGGAGACUGGAAUUCCUGGUGUAGCGGUGAAAUGCGCAGAUAUCAGGAGGAACACCGGUGGUGUAGACGGCUUUCUGGACCGUAACUGACGCUGAGACACGAAAGCGUGGGUAGCAAACAGG